GGAAGGGGGCGCCCGUCAGAGAAGGGGGCAAAGGGGGUGCCCACCAGAGAAGGGAGUGCCCACCAGAGAAGGGGGCAAAGGGAGUGCCCAUCAGAGAAAGGGGGACAAGGUGAGGGGCUGUCAGAAUGGGGGGACGAGCCUUCCACCAGACAGCCCCUCCCAACUAGCCUCCCCAAGCUCCUCUGAUGGGAGCACAGGCUCUGGCCCCUUCACCCCGUGGCCAUCCCUUGACGGACCUCCGGUCUCCGAGCCAGGACUGGUCCCCAUACUCCAGAUAAAGUCUGACAAGACCCAAGUUGAGGAAUUCUCGGUUGCGAUCGACCUGCUCUAUCACCCCACUGUCUCUGACGGGGGUCCAUUAAGACCCCCAGGGUUUUCCCGAAUAAUGCCGGCUAGCCGGGCCCCCCGUCUUGGACCCCGGGGCGAGGCCGUGUAUGUGAGUGAGUCUCAUUGUGCCGUUAGAGCCGCUCUCCUCUCGACAGCCUUUUGAAUCUUGGCGAUCACUCGGGCAGUUGGCGAGCAAUGGCUAAGCACCUACUGUGUGCCAGGCAGGCCCUGGGAGGACAGACGGGGAAGCAGGCCCCGGGCACCUACAUGGAGUCCGGGCUUCCAGAAGGGCGCUUCGGGACCCUCGGAUCUCAGCCUCGGGCCCCUCCAAAGCCGGCCUGGGUGACCCGGGGAGGCGGCCCCGGGCGAGAGGCCCUGGGCCCGGUCACCGCCCUGCGGGACCGCGGUCAGUCCGUCAGCGGGCGCCCAGCAUCCGCCCAGGAACGCGCGGGAGCCCGGCCCGGCCUCCGGAGCUGCCCCCGUGGGAGGCCCCAGUGCACGGCAGGGCUUCAGGAGACACGGCUAAUCAGACUUUAAUGGGAUGAACACAAAGUAUUUUUAUGACUGCAAGAAGAUUACAGCAGGCCCCAAAGCUUCCAGGCCCCGGGGGCCCCCGCUAAUGGGAUUUGGCCCGAGACCCAGCUCAGCACCCCGGGCCCCGGGGGACUGAAUGUUCUUGGCUGUGGGAGGAGGCUCGAGCUUCCAGCUGGCUCCAGACCCGAGGGCCUCCUCGAGCAUGAGAGAGACCCCCCCGGAGAAUGUCGGGACAGGGGGGCCUGAGAGCAGGGGAGCCAGAGAGGAGAACGGGGGAGUCGGAGAGGAAAUGAGCUUAGAGCAGGGGAAGUAAGAGAGGAAAGGGCUUAGAACAGGGGAAGUCAGAGAGAAGAGGGGCUUAGAACAGGGGAAGUAAGAGAGAAGAGGGGCUUAGAACAGGGGAAGUAAGAGAGAAGAGGGGCUUAGAACAGGGGAAGUAAGAGAGAAGAGGGGCUUAGAACAGGGGAAUCAGAGAGGAAAGGGGCUUAGAACAGGGGAGUCAGAGAGGAAAGGGCUUAGAACAGGGGAGUCAGAGAGAAAGGGGCUUAGAACAGGGGAAUCAGAGAGGAAAGGGCUUAGAACAGGGGAAGUAAGAGAGAAGAGGGGCUUAGAACAGGGGAAGUAAGAGAGGAAAGGGGCUUAGAACAGGGGAGUCAGAGAGGAAAGGGCUUAGAACAGGGGAAGUAAGAGAGGAAAGGGGCUUAGAACAGGGGAAGUAAGAGAGAAGAGGGGCUUAGAACAGGGGAAGUAAGAGAGAAGAGGGGCUUAGAACAGGGGAAGUAAGAGAGAAGAGGGGCUUAGAACAGGGGAAGUAAGAGAGAAGAGGGGCUUAGAACAGGGGAAGUAAGAGAGAAGAGGGGCUUAGAACAGGGGAAGUAAGAGAGGAAAGGGGCUUAGAACAGGGGAGUCAGAGAGGAAAGGGCUUAGAACAGGGGAAGUAAGAGAGAAGAGGGGCUUAGAACAGGGGAAGUAAGAGAGAAGAGGGGCUUAGAACAGGGGAAGUAAGAGAGAAGAGGGGCUUAGAACAGGGGAAGUAAGAGAGGAAAGGGCUUAGAACAGGGGAGUCAGAGAGGAAAGGGGCUUAAACAGGGGAGUCAGAGAGGAAAGGGGCUUAGAACAGGGGAGUCAGAGAGGAAAGGGGCUUAAACAGGGGAGUCAGAGAGGAAAGGGGCUUAGAACAGGGGAAGUAAGAGAGGAAAGGGGCUUAGAACAGGGGAGUCAGAGAGGAAAGGGCUUAGAACAGGGGAGUCAGAGAGGAAAGGGGCUUAGAACAGGGGAAUCAGAGAGGAAAGGGGCUUAGAACAGGGGAGUCAGAGAGGAAAGGGGCUUAGAACAGGGGAGUCAGAGAGGAAAGGGCUUAGAACAGGGGAGUCAGGGCUGGGAGGGGCCUCUAUCUCUAACUUUGGGAGUCUGGAGGCCCGGCCUCUGACACUUGGUAGCCGUGCACUUGGGCAUCAGUCUCUUUGCCUGUGUGGCGUGUGGCGAGUCGGCCCCCGAGGAGCAGCGAGGGGCUCCGGGGCCUGGGUCUCAGUGGGCUUGAAGUCAGGCCUUACUGAGCACAUGACUUGACCUCCCCGGGCCUCAGUUUCCCCACCAGGAACACCAGGGGCCAGACUCCCAGGGGGCCCCGCUGCCCCCCGCCUCCAAAGGCCAAGAGGGACUGGGGCUGGUGGGUGGGGGCCGGGCCCU